rnacentral:rRNA from 1 species
CGGCCGCGUCGACGGGGAGACUGGAAUUUCUGGUGUAGCGGUGGAAUGCACAGAUAUCAGGAAGAACACCGAUGGCGAAGGCAGGUCUCUGGGUAGUAGCUGACGCUGAGGAGCGAAAGCAUGGGUAGCGAACAGGAUUAGAUACCCUGGUAGUCCAUGCCGUAAACGGUGGGCGCUAGGUGUGGGGUUCCUUCCACGGGCUCCGCGCCGUAGCUAACGCAUUAAGCGCCCCGCCUGGGGAGUACGGCCGCAAGGCUAAAACUCAAAGAAAUUGACGGGGGCCCGCACAAGCGGCGGAGCAUGUGGAUUAAUUCGAUGCAACGCGAAGAACCUUACCUGGGCUUGACAUAUAGAGGGUCGACGCGGCCG